GACGGAGGGCGCAAGCGUUGUUCGGAAUUACUGGGCGUAAAGCUCGCGCAGGCGGACACCGCAAGUCGGGAGUGAAAGACCGGGGCUCAACCCCGGGCAUGCUUCCGAUACUGCGGGUCUAGGGACCGGUAGAGGCCGGUGGAAUUCCCGGUGUAGCGGUGGAAUGCGUAGAGAUCGGGAAGAACACCAGAGGCGAAGGCGGCCGGCUGGGCCGGGUCCGACGCUGAGGCGCGAAAGCGUGGGGAGCAAACAGG
rnacentral:misc_RNA from 1 species